rnacentral:rRNA from 1 species
CUACGGGAGGCAGCAGUAAGGAAUAUUGGUCAAUGGACGCAAGUCUGAACCAGCCAUGCCGCGUGAAGGAUGAAGGUCCUCUGGAUUGUAAACUUCUUUUAUAUGGGAAGAAAUCCAUCUUUUCUUGGGUGGUUGACGGUACCAUAGGAAUAAGCACCGGCUAACUCCGUGCCAGCAGCCGCGGUAAUACGGAGGGUGCAAGCGUUAUCCGGAUUCACUGGGUUUAAAGGGUGCGUAGGAGGGCAGGUAAGUCAGUGGUGAAAUCUCCAAGCUUAACUUGGAAACUGCCGUUGAUACUAUCUGUCUUGAAUACCGUGGAGGUGAGCGGAAUAUGUCAUGUAGCGGUGAAAUGCUUAGAUAUGACAUAGAACACCAAUUGCGAAGGCAGCUCGCUACACGAAUAUUGACUCUGAGGCACGAAAGCGUGGGGAUCAAACAGGAUUAGAUACCCCGGU